rnacentral:misc_RNA from 1 species
AAAAUAAAUUUUAAAAUGAUAUUAUUUUUUGCUUUUUAAAUAAUACUGUAUUAGUCAUUUAAUUAACUUACAGUUAAUAUUCCUUUAAAUCGAAAACAUUUACCGCAAAAUUCACAUGUAAAUGGCAUUGCACCAGUAUGUAUUCUGUGAUGUUCCCUUAAGGUACCUUUUUCUCUAAAAGUUCUUCCACAUACAGCACAUUGAUGUGGUUUAGCACCUGUAUGAACUGUCUCAUGUUUUUUCAACUGUAGUGGUGUUUUGAAACUGCAAAUAACAUUAAAUAUGUAAACAUAGUUACAAUAUACUCCUGGUUAUUCUGUUCCGUUCAAUCGGCCACAACUUUAUUGAGAUGAAAACAAUUAGCUACCAUUCUUUUAUAUUCUUAAUUCAUAAUGAGAUAUUCCAGUAAGUUCAGUUAAAG